UGAGUACGAGCGGCUACGGCCGCGAAGUGGAUGAUGUCAAGCUUCCAAGAAAAGCCCUAUACCCGUUAAGGCAUGAUGGCCUGUACCCGAAACCGACACAGGUGGGGUGGUAGAGAAUACCGAGGGGCGCGAGGUAACUCUCUCUAAGGAACUCGGCAAAAUGGCCCCGUAACUUCGGGAGAAGGGGUGCCACCGCGAGGUGGUCGCAGUGAAGAGGCCCAGGCGACUGUUUACCAAAAACACAGGUCUCCGCUAAGUCGCAAGACGAUGUAUGGGGGCUGACGCCUGCCCAGUGCCGGAAGGUUAAGGAAGCUGGUCAGCGCAAGCGAAGCUGGCGACUGAAGCCCCGGUGAACGGUGGCCGUAACAAUAACGGUCCUAAGGUAGCGAAAUUCCUUGUCGGGUAAGUUCCGACCCGCACGAAAGGCGUAACGAUCUGGGCGCUGUCUCGGAGAGAGGCUCGGCGAAAUAGAAUUGUCUGUGAAGAUGCGGACUACGUGCACCCGGACAGAAAGACCCUAUGAAGCUUUACUGUAGCUUGGUAUUGUGCUCGGGCUCGGAAUGCGCAGGAUAGGUGGGAGGCUUUGAUCCAUUGCUUGCGGGUGAUGGUGAGCCACUGGUGAGAUACCACUCUUUCCGAGCUAGAGUUCUAACAGCAACCCGUUAUCCGGGUGCUGGACAGUAUCAGGUGGGCAGUUUGACUGGGGCGGUCGCCUCCUAAAAGGUAACGGAGGCGCGCAGAGGUCUGCUCAGGCUGGUUGGAAAUCAGCCGACGAGUGUAAAAGCAGAAGCAGGCUUGACUGUGAGACCUACAAGUCGAACAGGGAGGAAACUCGGCUUUAGUGAUCCGACGUUUCUGCGUGGAAGGGCCGUCGCUCAACGGAUAAAAGUUACUCUAGGAUAACAGGCUGAUCUCCCCCAAGAGUUCACAUCGACGGGGAGGUUUGGCACCUCGAUGUCGGCUCAUCGCAACCUGGGGCUGAAGUCGGUCCCAAGGGUUGGGCUGUUCGCCCAUUAAAGCGGUACGCGAGCUGGGUUCAGAGCGUCGUGAGACAGUUCGGUCCAUAUCCGGUGCACGCGCAGGAAUAUUGAGAGGAUUUCUCCCUAGUACGAGAGGACCGGGAGGAACGCACCUCUGGUGUGCCAGUUAUCGGGCCAACGGUAACGCUGGGUAGCCAUGUGCGGAGUGGAUAACCGCUGAAAGCAUCUAAGUGGGAAGCCCACCUCAAGAUGAGUAUUCCCAUGGCAUAAGCCAGUAAGGUCACGGGAAGAACACCCGUUGAUAGGCUCUACGUGGAAGCGCAGUAAUGUGUGAAGCGGAGGAGUACUAAUAGACCGAGGGC
rnacentral:rRNA from 1 species